UCUUUUCGAGCUUUACACGUGAAGAAGGAUGUGACUUACACUGAUAAGAAGUCUGAAAGAAUCGAUGUAAGUUAUUUAAAUUUUUUUAAUAUGAAAGAAGUUUUAUCUCUUUUUUAUGGAAUUAAUAGCAUUACAAACUUGUUCAAUCUCACCAUUCAUUAUCUUAAAUUCUAAGACUUCAAUCAUUAGUAGAUAGGAUGCAAGUCUUUUACAUCAAUAGAUGGAGUUAUUCCUCUUUCUUGGAGCUUAGUCUUUGCAUUUCUUAUAAAACUUAGCCUUUCGUGUAAAUGGGUUGGCAACCUUAGUGUUCUUGAGCUAUCCACUAAAGCCCUUGGAAGAAUUAAAUUUAGUGAAUUAGCAAGACUUCAAUCAUUUGAGUGUAGCUUAUAAAAUUUGUUGGUUGUAGUUUGGUUGAAACAAGUAUAUGUCUUUAAUAGUGUAUAUUUUUAAUAUGUUUUAUAUACUCCCUCCGUCCACGAAAUGAGUACCCAUAUUUCCUUUUUCGUCCGUCCACGAAAUGAGUACCCAUUUCCCUUUUUGGCAAGUGUACCCCACAUAUCUCUUUAAUUAAUACACUCAAAAAGUGGGACCCUUAAACUAUUCACACUACACUCCAUACAUUUCUUAAAACCCGUGCCGUCCACAAAUGAGUACUCAUUUCGUGGACGGAGGGAGUAACAUUUUUUAUCAAUUAGGUGGAGAUACAAGAAAUUGCUGCAGAGAUGGGCCAAUCUAAUCCUGAUACGCCCGUGGAUAUGAACAAGAUUUAUCUAGAUGUCUUGGGAGGCGGUUUAGAUAAAAAGCAAAGAUUGUUCGGCACUGGUAAUCUCGCAUCAACCUUGAAGACCGAUAUAUCAGGAGAGAGUAGUACUUCAGCUAUGUCCGACAUCGACAAAGAGCAGUAUGCUACUCGCCUAGGAGAUGUAGAGGAGCAGCUUCAAGCGGAGCGAGAAAGGACAUCUCGAUUAGAAGAACAUGUUAAAGUUGCAAUGGAGAUUAUCAAGCAGUUGCAAGGGCAAUCAAGCACCGCCACUAGUCAUCCAAAUCCACCAUCACAUGUUCCAUGAUCAUACAUGUGUUUUGAUUUCGAUAUCGACUAUCUCUAGGUGCUUGGUUUUGAAAUACUUGUUAGAUAUGUGAUUUCGACUAUUUGGGUUUGUAACUACUAUUUCUAGGUGUUUGGUUUUGAGAUACUUAUAUGUGAUUUCUAAACUAUCUUGGUUUAUGACUAUUUUGG
rnacentral:lncRNA from 1 species